CCCUCCUUGGCCUCCCAAAGUGCUGGGAUUACAGGAAUAAACCACCAUGCCCAGCCUGGUAUUUUAUUUAGAAUGUGUGCAUCUAUCAUAAGUGGUAUUGGUCUCGUGUGGGUAUGCCUGCAGCCAGGUAUCUGCCAGAUGUGCUGGUGCCGGGCUUGUUUUGACAUCAAGAAAUGAGCCGGAAAGCCUUCUUUCGUUUUCUGUGUGCUGGUGUGGUUGUCAAGUGUGAACUAUUCGUAAUAACGACUUAAACUGGCCUCACUGAGCGUGUGCAAAGACAGCUCAUCAAAGGAACAAUUAGAACUACUGCUUAGGGGUAGUAUUUUGCACGGAUGGACAGAUCAUUUUGCUUCCAGAUGUUUGCCAAGCAAAACAGAUUGUGUCUCUGCCUUCCCCUCUGUCGUAGAGGGUCCGCGCCACUGGCCUCAUCGCUGGCUUGUGGGAAUUUUGCAGGAUCCUGCAGCGUGUGUCCAUGCCAUCCCUCCUGAGCUGUCUCCUUCAGCAGCACAGCCUGGAAGGUGGAGGAGAAUGCAGGGUGGAUAGAGAAGGGCCUCAAUUCAGUUCCUUCGAAUUGCUUCAUUUGCCAGGACUGAGGGAAAGUUGCAUCUGUGCCCGCCGGAUGGCCUAGACAUCGUGAACUGCGGGGUGACGGGAAUAAAUGGAGAAAGGAAUCAGAACCCCAGGGGACUUGUGACAGCCCCUCUCUUUUCAGCUAGAGCCUGACAAUCUAUACUUUAGCAUAUAACACGACAAAUGUAUAUAAGAGAAAAUGAGGAAGUGUAAUUCCAUGCAAUAAACACUGAACACUGUUCAUUUCAGUA